UAGGGAAUCUUGGGCAAUGGGCGCAAGCCUGACCCAGCGAUGCCGCGUGUGUGAAGAAGGCCUUAGGGUUGUAAAGCACUUUCAGCAGUGAAGAAAUGCCGGGAGCUAAUACCUCCUCGGUUUUGACGUUAACUGCAGAAGAAGCACCGGCUAACUCCGUGCCAGCAGCCGCGGUAAUACGGAGGGUGCGAACGUUAAUCGGAAUUACUGGGCGUAAAGCGCGCGUAGGCGGUUUGAUAAGUGGGAUGUG
rnacentral:rRNA from 1 species